AUUGAACGCUGGCGGCAUGCUUUACACAUGCAAGUCGAACGGUAACAGGCCUUCGGGUGCUGUCGAGUGGCGAACGGGUGAGUAAUGCAUCGGAACGUACCCAGAGGUGGGGGAUAACGCAGCGAAAGCUGUGCUAAUACCGCAUGUGAUCUGAGGAUGAAAGCGGGGGACCGAGCAGCAAUGUUUGGCCUCGCGCCUUUGGAGCGGCCGAUGUCGGAUUAGCUAGUUGGUGGGGUAAAGGCAUACCAAGGCGACGAUCCGUAGCUGGUCUGAGAGGACGACCAGCCACACUGGGACUGAGACACGGCCCAGACUCCUACGGGAGGCAGCAGUGGGGAAUGUUGGACAAUGGGCGCAAGCCUGAUCCAGCAAUGCCGCGUGCGUGAAGAAGGCCUUCGGGUUGUAAACCGCUUUUGGCAGGAACGAAACGGUGUCCGCUAAUACCGGGCGCUAAUGACGGUACCUGCAGAAUAAGCACCGGCUAACUACGUG
rnacentral:rRNA from 1 species